GACGAACCGUGCAAACGUUGUUCGGAUUCACUGGGCUUAAAGGGCGCGUAGGCGGGCGGUCAAGUCAGGGGUGAAAUCUUUCGGCUCAACCGGAAAAGUGCCUCUGAUACUGAUCGUCUUGAGGGAGGUAGGGGGCAUGUGGAACUUCCGGUGGAGCGGUGAAAUGCGUAGAUAUCGGAAGGAACGCCGGUGGCGAAAGCGACGUGCUGGACCUCUUCUGACGCUGAGGCGCGAAAGCCAGGGGAGCAAACGGG
rnacentral:rRNA from 1 species